rnacentral:rRNA from 1 species
CCUACGGGCGGCAGCAGUGGGGAAUAUUGCGCAAUGGGCGAAAGCCUGACGCAGCGACGCCGCGUGAGGGAUGAAGGUCUUCGGAUCGUAAACCUCUGUCAGCAGGGAAGAACGGUCACUGUGCUAAUCAGCAGUGCAUUGACGGCACCGUCAAAGGAAGCACCGGCUAACGCCGGACCAGCAGCCGCGGUAAUACGGAGGGUGCGAGCGUUAAUCGGAAUUACUGGGCGUAAAGCGCUCGUAGGCGGUAUGUCAAGUCAAGGGUGAAAUCCCCGCGCUUAACGUUGGAACUGCCUUUGAAACUGGCAAACUGGAGUGUGUGAGAGGAUAGUGGAAUUCCGGGUGUAGCAGUGAAAUCCGUAGAUAUCUGGAGGAACAUCAGUGGCGAAGGCGACUAUCUGGCACAUAACUGACGCUGAGGAGCGAAAGCGUGGGUAGCAAACAGGAUUAGAUACCCCAGUAGUC